rnacentral:rRNA from 1 species
AGCAUUACCAGUAUUAGAGGCACUGCCUGCCCAGUGACACACGUUUAACGGCCGCGGUACCCUGACCGUGCAAAGGUAGCAUAAUCACUUGUUCUUUAAAUAGGGACUCGCAUGAAAGGCACCACGAGGGUUUAGCUGUCUCUUACUUUUAACCAGUGAAAUUGACCUGCCCGCGAAGAGGCGGACAUAAAAUAAUAAGACGAGAAGACCCUAUGGAGCUUUAAUCUAUUAAUGCAAUCAAAAACUACACAAACCCACGGACCCUUAAACUACCGACACCUGCAUUAAAAAUUUUGGUUGGGGCGACCUCGGAGCACAACAAAACCUCCGAAUAACACAUGCCAAGACCACACAAGUCAAAGCGAACUAACACUUACAAUUGAUCCAAUAAUUUGAUCAGCGGAACAAGUUACCCUAGGGAUAACAGCGCAAUUCUAUUCUAGAGUCCAUAUCGACAAUAGAGC